AAACUGAAGAGUUUGAUCAUGGCUCAGAUUGAACGCUGGCGGCAGGCUUAACACAUGCAAGUCGAGCGGAAACGAUGAUAGCUUGCUAUCAGGCGUCGAGCGGCGGACGGGUGAGUAAUGCUUAGGAAUCUGCCCAGUAGUGGGGGACAACAGUCGGAAACGGCUGCUAAUACCGCAUACGCCCUACGGGGGAAAGCAGGGGAUCUUCGGACCUUGCGCUAUUGGAUGAGCCUAAGUCGGAUUAGCUAGUUGGUGAGGUAAAGGCUCACCAAGGCGACGAUCCGUAGCUGGUUUGAGAGGAUGAUCAGCCACAUCGGGACUGAGACACGGCCCGAACUCCUACGGGAGGCAGCAGUGGGGAAUAUUGGACAAUGGGGGCAACCCUGAUCCAGCCAUGCCGCGUGUGUGAAGAAGGCUUUCGGGUUGUAAAGCACUUUCAGCGAGGAGGAAGGCUCUAAAGUUAAUACCUUUAGGGAUUGACGUUACUCGCAGAAGAAGCACCGGCUAACUCCGUGCCAGCAGCCGCGGUAAUACGGAGGGUGCAAGCGUUAAUCGGAAUUACUGGGCGUAAAGCGCGCGUAGGUGGUUGAGUAAGCGAGA
rnacentral:rRNA from 1 species